rnacentral:lncRNA from 1 species
UUCAACACACUUCAUCUUCACUCCGCCCCGUAGCCUAUUCUUACCUCUCAUAUUAUUUGUCUAGAUUAUAUACAAAUACUUUUAGAAUAAAAAGAUUUUAACUUGCUUACCAAACACAAAAAAAAUAUGUAAAAAAAAACUACUUUUUCUAGAAAACAUGCUCCUUUAUACUGAACACCUACUGCUACUGCUUUUCCGG